GUAGGGAAUCUUGCGCAAUGGGCGAAAGCCUGACGCAGCCAUGCCGCGUGAAUGAUGAAGGUCUUAGGAUUGUAAAAUUCUUUCACCGGGGACGAUAAUGACGGUACCCGGAGAAGAAGCCCCGGCUAACUUCGUGCCAGCAGCCGCGGUAAUACGAAGGGGGCUAGCGUUGCUCGGAAUUACUGGGCGUAAAGGGCGCGUAGGCGGACAGCUUAGUCAGAGGUGAAAGCCCAGGGCUCAACCUUGGAAUUGCCUUUGAUACUGGCUGUCUUGAGUUUGGGAGAGGUGAGUGGAACUCCGAGUGUAGAGGUGAAAUUCGUAGAUAUUCGGAAGAACACCAGUGGCGAAGGCGACUCACUGGCCCAAUACUGACGCUGAGGCGCGAAAGCGUGGGGAGCAAACAGGAUUAGAAACCCUUGUAGUCC
rnacentral:rRNA from 1 species